rnacentral:rRNA from 1 species
GAUGAACGCUGGCGGCGUGCCUAAUACAUGCAAGUCGAGCGAACAGACGAGGAGCUUGCUCCUCUGACGUUAGCGGCGGACGGGUGAGUAACACGUGGAUAACCUACCUAUAAGACUGGGAUAACUUCGGGAAACCGGAGCUAAUACCGGAUAAUAUAUUGAACCGCAUGGUUCAAUAGUGAAAGACGGUUUUGCUGUCACUUAUAGAUGGAUCCGCGCCGCAUUAGCUAGUUGGUAAGGUAACGGCUUACCAAGGCAACGAUGCGUAGCCGACCUGAGAGGGUGAUAGGACACACUGGAACUGAGACACGGUCCAGACUCCUAAGGGAGGCAGCAGUAGGGAAUCUUCCGCAAUGGGCGAAAGCCUGACGGAGCAACGCCGCGUGAGUGAUGAAGGUCUUCGGAUCGUAAAACUCUGUUAUUAGGGAAGAAAAAAUGUGUAAGUAACUAUGCACGUCUUGACGGUACCUAAUCAGAAAGACACGGCUAACUACGUG